rnacentral:rRNA from 1 species
UACGGAGGGAGCAAGCGUUACUCGGAAUUAUUGGGCGUAAAGGGUGCGUAGGCGGCGCGGUAAGUCGGGUGUGAAAUCUCGGAGCUUAACUCCGAAACUGCAUUCGAUACUGCCGUGCUUGAGGACUGGAGAGGUGACUGGAAUUUACGGUGUAGCGGUGAAAUGCGUAGAUAUCGUAAGGAAGACCAGUGGCGAAGGCGGGUCUCUGGACAGUUCCUGACGCUGAGGCACGAAGGCCAGGGGAGCAAACGGG